AAGUUGGGUGGUCAAAAGGGAAAGAGCCCAGACCUACAGCUAAGGUCCCAAAGUGCGUGUUAAGUGGAAAAGGAUGUGGGAUUUCGAAGACAACCAGGAUGUUGGCUCAGAAGCAGCCACACAUUCAAAGAGUGCGUAAUAGCUCACUGGUCGAGAGGUCCUGCGCCGAAAAUGUCCGGGGCUCAAACACGCCACCGAAGCUCAGGAAUGUAUUUAUACAUUGGUAGAGGAGCAUUGUCAGUGCACUGAAGCUGUACCGGUAAGGAGCAGUGGAGCGCUGAGAAGAGAGAAUGCCGGAAUGAGUAGCGAGAAAGAGGUGGGAAUCCUCUUGGCCGAAUAUCCAAGGAUUCCGGGGUAAAGCUGAUCUGCCCCGGGUAAGUCGGGACCUAAGGCGAGGCAGAAAUGCGUAGCCGAUGGACAGCAGGUGGAGAUUCCUGCACUGCCAUAUAUCAGAAAUGUGGGGACGCAUCAGGAAAGUGUGGGCCGGGAAAGGAAAGACCGGUGCAAGCGGAGGAGGGGACAUGCAGGCAAAUCCGCAUGUCAACCCAAGAGCGUUAUGCGGAGCGAAGAAUAGUAGCGAAGCACACGGACAGGGUGCCGAGAAAAGCCGCUAUCGUGUAUAUGGUACCCGUACCGUAAACCGACACAGGUGGAUGAGGAGAGAAUCCUAAGGCCGGCGGGAGAAGCAUUGUUAAGGAACUCGGCAAAAUGACCCCGUAACUUCGGGAGAAGGGGUGCCACAGAGAUGUGGCCGCAGAGAAUAGGCUCAAGCAACUGUUUAGCAAAAACACAGGUCUAUGCGAAACCGAAAGGUGAGGUAUAUGGGCUGACGCCUGCCCGGUGCUGGAAGGUUAAGAGGAGAGGUCAGGAAACGAAGCCUUGAAUUGAAGCCCCAGUAAACGGCGGCCGUAACUAUAACGGUCCUAAGGUAGCGAAAUUCCUUGUCGGGUAAGUUCCGACCCGCACGAAAGGCGUAAUGAUUUGAGCGCUGUCUCGACAAUGCACCCGGUGAAAUUGAAGUACCAGUGAAGAUGCUGGUUACCCGCGCCAGGACGGAAAGACCCCAUGGAGCUUUACUCCAGCUUGAUACUGGGAUCCGGUGUCCAAUGUACAGGAUAGGUGGGAGGCUGAGAGCCAUGAACGCAAGUUUAUGGGGAGCCGCUGUUGGGAUACCACCCUUUGGGUACUGGAUUUCUAACCUGCGCCCGUGACCCGGGCGGGGGACAAUGUCUGGCGGGGAGUUUGACUGGGGCGGUCGCCUCCGAAAGGGUAUCGGAGGCGCUCAAAGGUUCCCUCAGAAUGGUUGGAAACCAUUCGAAGAGUGCAAAGGCAGAAGGGAGCUUGACUGCGACACCGACGGGUGGAGCAGGUACGAAAGUAGGACUUAGUGAUCCGGUGGUAUAAAGUGGGAUUGCCAUCGCUCAACGGAUAAAAGCUACCCUGGGGAUAACAGGCUUAUCACUCCCAAGAGUUCACAUCGACGGAGUGGUUUGGCACCUCGAUGUCGGCUCAUCGCAUCCUGGGGCUGUAGCAGGUCCCAAGGGUUGGGCUGUUCGCCCAUUAAAGCGGUACGCGAGCUGGGUUCAGAACGUCGUGAGACAGUUCGGUCCCUAUCCGGCGCGGGCGGAGGAUAU
rnacentral:rRNA from 1 species